AGGAGGAGGAUGCACCACCUCCCUCCCUGGUUCGGAGGGGCUCUGGCGGCUCGCAGCCUCUUUCCAAGCCUCUCCCCCCAGCUACAUCUCCCCAUCCUUAAAGGGGGUGCUGGGAGGUGUUUGCAAGGCUUUUUUUUUUUCUUUCUUUUUUUUUUUCUUCCCUUCCCCCAUCCCCCUUUGCUAAAUAAAUUAAAAGCAGAGAUGUCUCCUGAUGGAGAUGGAUGAGGCUGGGCUUACAGCAAUGGGGUCGCUUGCUUGCAUGCACUGCUGCAGCCUUGAUCUGCGGAGCAAGGCUUUGCUGCUGAUGGCAGAAGUGACCUUUCCCAGGCGGUGGGAGAGAGGCUUCCCCUCUCCCCAACGUGCUUCUGCUUGGAAUUCAUUUUAAAUAGCAGCGUUAUUACUUUUUAUCCACCCCCACCCCCCCGAACAGCUUGCUGUUUCAAUGAUUUUUUUUUUUCGGUAGCCUGUGGGUUGAAGCUUCCUCAUGCUCGUUUUUUGUGUGUGUGCGCGCUUUGAAUUGCAUUUUAAAAUUGCCCAGCUGGAGACAAGUCUUGAUUAGAGCUGGAACAAUAGCUCCAUUUUAUUAAUAAUGGGAAGGAUUUACAAUUCUACAGCACCUUCCUUGGAAGGCUUUCAAAAUCAUUUGCAAACACACACAAAUUUAAGCUUUCACAGCUCUGCCUGUGAGGUGGCCUGGAAGACUGAAGUCCUCUGUCUGGUCGUUGAAAUACCCUGUGUUUGGGAAAAAACGAGCAGGUACAGCUCCUCAUGUGGUCGCAGAGAUCUUUGGGGCCAAGGCAGAAGCUGGCACCUUGAUGUUUCUACUUUUUUUCCCUACAUUUCGUGAAAAACUAGUCCCUGCAACACGUGGCAGUGUGCUCCACCACUUGGAGUCGAUGCCUUUGUUCGCGACAGCUCCUGGUCAGCCUGCAGACGUCCCUCCCAGCCAGCCUGCUCUCAGGAUUGUGGUGUGACAGCAGUGACCCCGCGUGAGGUUUCUUUGAAGGACCCAGGAGCCCGUGUGGUUUUCUCUUGUCCCUUGGAGAUCUCAAUUUGGCAGAGCAGUUUAACAACCAUCAUCACUGGGGAAACUGAGGCACGGGGCCACGAAGGGAUCAGCCUGCAGCUGCGCGGCAGAGCUGGGGAUAAGACCCAGGUUUGCAGAGGCUCAAGUUGAUGUGCGUCAGAGGUCUGAUUAAAUCAAGAGAUCUGCAAGUUUAAGUGACCUAUAGCUCGAUGACUUUGACCAGUUGCUGCCAGAAGGUUACAGCCGCCCUGGGCAGGGUCCUGCCAGACCGGGCACCACCUUGCAAGGUGCCCACCGGAGAUUAACGAGCGUGGACUAAAGGCAGAGGCGGCACAGUUGAGCUCCGCUCAUCCCAACAAAUAAGAACAUGGUUUUAAUCAAUAGAAAAGCGCCGGCAGCAAGCGGGAGGCUUUGGCCAAGGAAAAUACUGAAAUAUUAGUCUGCUCUCUGUGGUGAAAGCAG